rnacentral:rRNA from 1 species
AUUGAACGCUGGCGGCAGGCCUAACACAUGCAAGUCGAACGAGUGGCGGACGGGUGAGUAAUGUCUGGGAAACUGCCCGAUGGAGGGGGAUCACUACUGGAAACGGUAGCUAAUACCGCAUACCAUCGGAUGUGCCCAGCUGGGAUUAGCUAGGUGGUGGGGUAACGGCUCACCUAGGCGACGAUCCCUAGCUGGUCUGAGAGGAUGACCGGACACACUGGAACUGAGACACGGUCCAGACUCCUACGAGGGGCAGCAGUGGGGUAUAUUGCACAAUGGGCGCAAGCCUGAUGCAGCCAUGCCGCGUGUUUGAAGAAGGCCUUCGGGUUGUAAAGUACUUUCAGCGGGGAGGCGUUACUCGCAGAAGAAGCACCGGCUAACUCCGUGCCAGCAGCCGCGGUAAUAC